rnacentral:rRNA from 1 species
UACGGAGGAUCCAAGCGUUAUCCGGAUUUAUUGGGUUUAAAGGGUGCGUAGGCGGAUUGAUAAGUUAGAGGUGAAAUGUCCGAGCUUAACUCGGGAACUGCCUCUAGUACUGUUGAUCUAGAGAGUAGAUGCGGUAGGCGGAAUGUAUGGUGUAGCGGUGAAGUGCUUAGAGAUCAUACAGAACACCGAUUGCGAAGGCAGCUUACCAAUCUAUAUCUGACGUUGAGGCACGAAAGCGUGGGGAGCAAACAGG